rnacentral:misc_RNA from 1 species
AAGUCGUAACAAGGUUUCCGUAGGUGAACCUGCGGAAGGAUCAUUAUUGAAUAUGCUUGAUAGGUUGUAGCUGGCUCUUCGGAGUAUGUGCACGCUUAUCUUGACUUUAUUCAUCCACCUGUGCACCUUUUGUAGUCUUGGGGGUUGAGAUCGGUCGACUAUCGGAUGGCCAAGGUCAUUCCGGAUGUGAGGAAUGCUGAGUGCGAAAGCAUACAGCUCUUCUCAAAUGACUUGUCUUCCUCGAGUACUAUGUAUUCAUAUACCACAUAGUAUGUUGUAGAAUGUGAUCAAUGGGUCUAUGUACCUAUAAUAAUCAUAUACAACUUUCAGCAACGGAUCUCUUGGCUCUC